rnacentral:rRNA from 1 species
GCGGGGAUGAGGUGUGGGUAGGGGUGAAAUGCCAAUCGAACCUGGAGAUAGCUGGUUCUCUCCGAAAUAGCUUUAGGGCUAGCCUCAAGGUAAGAGUCUCGGAGGUAGAGCACUGAUUGGACUAGGGGCCCCUACCGGGUUACCGAAUUCAGUCAAACUCCGAAUGCCGAUGACUUAUCCUUGGGAGUCAGACUGCGAGUGAUAAGAUCCGUAGUCGAAAGGGAAACAGCCCAGACCGCCAGCUAAGGUCCCAAAG